UACGUAGGGUGCGAGCGUUGUCCGGAAUUACUGGGCGUAAAGAGCUCGUAGGUGGUUUGUCGCGUUGUUCGUGAAAUCUCACGGCUUAACUGUGAGCGUGCGGGCGAUACGGGCAGACUAGAGUACUGCAGGGGAGACUGGAAUUCCUGGUGUAGCGGUGGAAUGCGAAGAUAUCAGGAGGAACACCGGUUGCGAAGGCGGGUCUCUGGGCAGUAACUGACGCUGAGGAGCGAAAGCGUGGGGAGCGAACAGG
rnacentral:rRNA from 1 species